CCCCUGCCCCAGGCCCGGCCCAGACGCUUCCGCCCAGCCUCCUGGCAGCAAGUGGCUCCCAUACCUGUCGGUCAUGGACGUUCUUCCGGGGGUGUUGAGACAACGGCACUCCGUCCUGCCAAUCAAAUCUACACUGGUCGGGUGGGGCAGCACUGGACCCUCCCCUUACGUAACAGCUCCCGGAGCGAACUGUCAGUCACGGAACUAUCGGCGGGGAUGGUUGAGAGGGAGACGAGCAAGCGCCUGCACAUAAUUGGUCACAGUGUCCGCCAGUCACCGUAGAGACCCACCCACAGGCUGCCUGCUUUCGGACGGAACCACGCCACUGACCCAGCUGGCCAACGCUCAGUCGCCAUAAUCACAUGAACUCAAACUUCGUUCUGCGAGCUGACCCUCGGAUAGUAAAGACACAUCCUCAUCUUUUCCUUGUUGCAUGUUCUCAGU